AUUCCUGCAGGAGAUCCUUCUCCCAUGGGGCUCCACCCCCCAACCCCAGCCCAGUCGGCUUCCAGGAUCCUAGGAAGCACAGAGCCAGGAAACCACUGCCCUGGGGGGCCUCCCAGAGAGCUGCACUGCAGGGUCUGGCUGGGAAGGGCCCUGCAACCCCGCCUGUGUGUGGGGGGAGGGAAAGUUGCAGAGGAGACUCAGUGCUGCUGGUGGCUGGUGGGAGCCCCAGGGCUGCUGGCCCAGGCCCCGCUUCUGUCCUUCCCCUUUUGGACCAACCGUACCCCCUCCCCUGUUGUGGGAAGUCAGGGACCCCAAAUGGAGGGACCGGCUGAAGCCACGGCAGAAGAACGUGGAUUGUGAAGAUUUUAUGGACACUUAUUAGUUCCUCAAGUUAAUACUUUUAUAAUUUCUUAUGCCUGUCUUUACUGCAAUCUCUAAACAUAAAUUGUAAAGAUUUCAUGGACACUUAUCACUUCCCCAGUCAAUACCCUUGUGAUUUCCUAUGCCUGUCUUUACUUUAAUCUCUUAAUCCUGUCAGCUGAGGAGGAUGUAUAUUGCCUCAGGACCCUGUAAUAAUUGUGUUAACUACAAAAAUUGUACAGCAUGUGUGUUUGAGCAAUAUGAAAUCUGAGCACCUUGAAAAAAGAACAGGAUAACAGCAAUUGUUCAGGGAAUAAGAGAGAUAACCUUAAACUCUAACCGCAGGUGAGUCAGGCAGAACAGAGCCAUAUUUCUCUUCUUUCAAAAGCAAAUGGGAGAAAUAUCGCUGAAUUCUUUUUCUCAGCAUGGGAUAUCCCUGAGAAAGAGAAUACGCACCUGGAGGUAUUGGCUUAUAAACAGCCCCCCCAGGUGGGCCUGUCUCUUAUGGUUGAGGCUGCAGAGAUGAAAUAAACUCCAGUCUCCCAUAGCGCUCCCAGGCUUAUUAGGAAGAGGAAAUUCCCACCUAAUAAAUUUUGGUCAGACCGGUUGAUGUCAAAACCCUGUCUCCUGAUAAGAUGUUAUCAGUGACAGUGGUGCCCAAAACUUCAUUAGCAAUUUUAAUUUUGCUUCGGUCCUGUGGUCCUGUGAUCUCGCCCUGCCUCCACUGGCCUUGUGAUAUUCUAUUACCCUGUUAAGUACUUGCUGUCUGUCACCCACACCUAUUCACACACUCCCUCCCCUUUUGAAACUCCCUAAUAAAAACUUGCUGGUUUUUGCGGCUUGUGGGGCAUCACAGAUCCUACCAACGUGUGAUGUCUCCCCCGGAUGCCCAGCUUUAAAAUUUC
rnacentral:lncRNA from 1 species